rnacentral:rRNA from 1 species
AUUGAACGCUGGCGGCGUGCUUAACACAUGCAAGUCGAGCGGUAACGCGGGGGCAACCCUGGCGACGAGCGGCGAACGGGUGCGUAAUACAUGGGAAUCUGCCCUGUAGUGGGGAAUAACCCGGCGAAAGCCGGGCUAAUGCCGCAUACGAUCUACGGAUGAAAGCGGGGGACCUUCGGCCUCGCGCUAUUGGAUGAGCCCAUGUCGGAUUAGCUAGUUGGUGAGGUAACGGCCACCAAGGCGACGAUCCGUAGCUGGUCUGAGAGGACGGCCAGCCACACUGGGACUGAGACACGGCCCAGACUCCUACGGGAGGCAGCAGGUGGGGAAUAUUGGACAAUGGGCGAAAGCCUGAUCC